rnacentral:snRNA from 1 species
AUCGCUUCUCGGCCUUUUGGCUAAGAUCAAGUGUAGAAAUUUUUUUUAGGCAAGACAUACAAUAUUUUUAAAUUUAAAAAAAAACACAAUAUAAAUUAUUGUCUGCUACAAAGUCUU